UACGUAGGGUGCGAGCGUUGUCCGGAAUUAUUGGGCGUAAAGAGCUCGUAGGCGGUUUGUCGCGUCUGCUGUGAAAACUCGGGGCUUAACCCCGGGCCUGCAGUGGGUACGGGCAGACUAGAGUGCGGUAGGGGAGACUGGAAUUCCUGGUGUAGCGGUGAAAUGCGCAGAUAUCAGGAGGAACACCGAUGGCGAAGGCAGGUCUCUGGGCCACUACUGACGCUGAGAAGCGAAAGCAUGGGGAGCGAACAGG
rnacentral:rRNA from 1 species